rnacentral:lncRNA from 1 species
UGAAUUAAAUGGACAUAUUCACAGGUGCACAAAAAUCAAUGCAUUUCCUACAUUGAAUUUAAUUCCCUGACCAAAACAUCCAUUUCUCUGAAAGUUCCUGCUUUGAGAGGCUGCACAGGAAGUAGUUAGAGUUCAUUGCAAAUCAUGUUUCUAUGGUUGUUUUGAAUUGGUUUUAAUUCCGACAGUUCGGAUGAUGUUUGUUUCAGAUCUGGCCAUUUUUUUCCUUUGCAUUUUAAAUUUUGUAUUGGAAGUUGUCUGUAUGUUGCAUUGAAAGUUUGUUCUUGGCUCCCCAUCUGGUGGUGUGGCCUUUACUUAAUAGGUGCUGAAAUUUCCACUCCCACUUUCAACCAAGUUUUUUGUUGUUAUUAAAUUGAGUUUUAUGUUGUCCUUAAAACCAAUUAUGUGACAGUUGAAUUAAAUGGGUGUAUUACUUUUCAUAGAUCAUGUUGUUUGAAAA